rnacentral:rRNA from 1 species
AGUUCGAUUAUGGCUCAGUUGAACGCUGGCAGGAUGUUGCUUUACACACAUGCAAGUCGAACGGCAGCACGGACUUCGGUCUGGUGGCGAGUGGCGAACGGGUGAGUAAUGUAUCGGAACGUGCCUGAUAGCGGGGAUAACUACGCGAAAGCGUAGCUGAAUACCACGCGCUACGCCCUUCGGGGAAAGCGGGGGACCUUCGGGCCUCGCACUAUUAAACGGCCGAUAUCGGAUUAGCAGCUAGUUGGUGGGGGUAACGGCUCACCAAGGCGGCGAUCCAUGCUUGUGGUUUGAAGGACGACCGAGCCACGCAGGAUGACUGGCCCAGACUCUACGGGAGGCAGCAGUGGGGAAUUUUGGACAAUGGGGGAAACCUGAUCCCAGCCAUCCCGCGUGUACGACGAAGGCCUUCGGGUUGUAAGCACUUUUGGCAGGAAAGAAACGGCACGGGAUAAUACCCGAUGCAACUGACAGUACCUGCAGGUAAAGCACCGGCUAACCACGUGCCAGCAGCGCGGUAAUACGUAAGGGUGCAAGCGUUAAUCGGAAUUACUGGGCGUAAAGCGUGCGCAGGCGGUUCGGAAGAAAGAUGUGAAAUCCCGACUUAGCACGGAACAUUUUAUUUCGAGCUAGAAUUAUCGAGGGAGGUGGAAUUCCGCGAUGUAGCAGUGAAAUGCGUAGAUAUGCGGAGGAACACACCGAUGGCAAAGGCAGCCUCCUGGGAUAACACUGACGCUCAUGAUAGCAGGAGCAGAGCAGGAUUGAAUACCUGAUGAUCGCCUAAACGAUAUCCAACUAGCUGUUGGGGCCUUCGGGCAGCGGUAGCGCAACUAACGUGAAGUUGACCGCCUGGGAAGUGGUCGCAAAUUCAGAAACUCAAAGGAAUUGACGGGGACCCGCACCAAGCGGUGGAUGAUGUGGAUUAAUUCGAUGCAGCAUGACAACACCUACCCUUAGGCAUGGAAUCCCGAAGAGAUUUGGGGAGUGCUCGCAAGAGAACCGGAACACAGGUGCUGCAUGGCUGUCGUCAGCUCGUGUCGUGAGAUGUUGGGUUAAGUCCCGCAACGAGCGCAACCCUUGUCAUUAGUUGCUACGAAAGGGCACUCUAAUGAGACUGCCGGUGACAAACCGGAGGAAGGUGGGGAUGACGUCAAGUCCUCAUGGCCCUUAUGGGUAGGGCUUCACACGUCAUACAAUGGUCGGGACAGAGGGUCGCCAACCCCGCGAGGGGAGCCAAUCGAAACCCGAUCGUAGUCCGGAUCGCAGUCUGCAACUCGACUGCGUGGAAGUCAGGGCUCGUAAGUAAUCGCGGAUCAGCAUGUCGCGGUGAAUACGUUCCCGGGUCUUGUACACCGCCCGUCACACCAUGGGAGUGGGUUUUACCAGUAGUUAGCCUAACCGUAGGAGGGGCGAUUACCACGGUAGGAUUCAUGACUGGGGUGAAGUCGUAACAAGGUAG